CCUACGGGUGGCAGCAGUGAGGAAUAUUGGUCAAUGGACGAGAGUCUGAACCAGCCAAGUAGCGUGAAGGAUGACUGCCCUAUGGGUUGUAAACUUCUUUUAUAUGGGAAUAAAAUGUUCCACGUGUGGGAUUUUGUAUGUACCAUAUGAAUAAGGAUCGGCUAACUCCGUGCCAGCAGCCGCGGUAAUACGGAGGAUCCGAGCGUUAUCCGGAUUUAUUGGGUUUAAAGGGAGCGUAGGUGGAUUGUUAAGUCAGUUGUGAAAGUUUGCGGCUCAACCGUAAAAUUGCAGUUGAAACUGGCAGUCUUGAGUACAGUAGAGGUGGGCGGAAUUCGUGGUGUAGCGGUGAAAUGCUUAGAUAUCACGAAGAACUCCGAUUGCGAAGGCAGUUCACUGGACUGCAAUUGACACUGAGGCUCGAAAGUGUGGGUAUCAAACAGGAUUAGAUACCCUUGUAGUC
rnacentral:rRNA from 1 species